GACGAACGCUGGCGGCGUGCUUAACACAUGCAAGUCGAACGCUGAAGCUCAGCUUUUGUUGGGUGGAUGAGUGGCGAACGGGUGAGUAACACGUGAGUAACCUGCCCCCUUCUUUGGGAUAACGCCCGGAAACGGGUGCUAAUACUGGAUAUUCACUGGUCUUCGCAUGGGGGUUGGUGGAAAGGGUUUUUCUGGUGGGGGAUGGGCUCGCGGCCUAUCAGCUUGUUGGUGGGGUGAUGGCCUACCAAGGCUUUGACGGGUAGCCGGCCUGAGAGGGUGACCGGUAACAUUGGGACUGAGAUACGGCCCAGACUCCUACGGGAGGCAGCAGUGGGGAAUAUUGCACAAUGGGCGCAAGCCUGAUGCAGCGAUGCCGCGUGAGGGAUGGAGGCCUUCGGGUUGUGAACCUCUUUCGCUCAUGGUCAAGCCGCAACAAUGGUUGUGGUGAGGGUAGUGGGUAAAGAAGCGCCGGCUAACUACGUG
rnacentral:rRNA from 1 species